AUUGAACGCUGGCGGCAGGCCUAACACAUGCAAGUCGAACGAGUGGCGGACGGGUGUGUAAUGUCUGGGAAACUGCCCGAGGGAGGGGGAUAUCUACUGGAAACGGUAGCUAAUACCGCACACCCUCGGAUGUGCCCAGAUGUGAAUAGCUAGUAGGUGGGGUAACGGCUCACCUAGGCGACGCUCCCCAGCUGGUCUGGGAGGAUGACCAGCCACACGGGAACGGAGACACGGUCCAGACUCCUAAGGGAGGCAGCAGUGGGGAAUAUUGCACAAUGGGCGCAAGCCUGAUGCAGCCAUGCCGCGUGUAUGAAGAAGGCCUUCGGGUUGUAAAGUACUUUCAGCGGGGAGGCGUUACUCGCAGAAGAAGCACUGGCUAACUCCGUGCCAGCAGCCGCGGUAAUUC
rnacentral:rRNA from 1 species